rnacentral:ncRNA from 1 species
AACAGUGGAGUACAGAUACCACUGCGAAAAAACGGGGCGGAAACUGAAAAGCCAAAUGAGUAAGUAAAA